CAGCAGCCGCGGGAAUACGUAGGGUGCAAGCGUUAAUCGGAAUUACUGGGCGUAAAGCGUGCGCAGGCGGUUUGUUAAGACAGAUGUGAAAUCCCCGGGCUCAACCUGGGAACUGCAUUUGUGACUGGCAAGCUAGAGUAUGGCAAAGGGGGGUGGAAUUCCGCGUGUAGCAGUGAAAUGCGUAGAUAUGCGGAGGAACACCGAUGGCGAAGGCAGCCCCCUGGGCCAAUACUGACGCUCAUGCACGAAAGCGUGGGAGCAAACAGGAUUAGAUACCCGAGUAGUCCCUGUCUCUUAUACC
rnacentral:rRNA from 1 species